UACGGGGGGGGCAAGCGUUGUUCGGAAUUACUGGGCGUAAAGGGCGCGUAGGCGGCCUGCUAAGUCGAACGUGAAAUCCCCGGGCUCAACCCGGGAACUGCGUCCGAUACUGGUUGGCUUGAAUCCGGGAGAGGGAUGCGGAAUUCCAGGUGUAGCGGUGAAAUGCGUAGAUAUCGUAAGGAAGACCAGUGGCGAAGGCGGAUCUCUGGACAGUUACUGACACUGAGGCACGAAGGCCAGGGGAGCAAACGGG
rnacentral:rRNA from 1 species